UUGUGAUCGUCUCUCGCAUAUCAAUAAGCGGAGGAAAAGAAACUAACAAGGAUUCCCCUAGUAACGGCGAGUGAAGCGGGAAGAGCUCAAAUUUGAAAUCUUGAAGGGUUUCCCUUUACGAAUUGUAGUUUAAAGAAGUGUUUUCUGUUGAGGUUUUGGUAAAAGUUCUUUGGAAUAGGACAUCAUAGAGGGUGAGAAUCCCGUAUUUGACCUUUACUUUCAACUUUGUGAUACACUUUCAAAGAGUCGGAUUGUUUGGGAAUGCAGUCCAAAAUGGGUGGUAAAUUUCAUCUAAAGCUAAAUAUUGGCGAGAGACCGAUAGCGAACAAGUACCGUGAGGGAAAGAUGAAAAGAACUUUGAAAAGAGAGUUAAACAGUACGUGAAAUUGUCAAAAGGGAAGCGUUUGACACCAGUGUUGUUUUUCUGAAAAUCAAUUAAAGAACUGUUUAUGCUAAGUUGUUUAGACUUUAUCAGCUAUCUGUUUAGUUUUGAGCUUUUCUUUAAUGCACUUUUCAGUUAACAAGUCAACAUCAAUUUCUUUUGCUGUAAAAAAGCUUGAGGAAGGUGGCUUGAGAUUCGUCUUAAGUGUUUAUAGCCUCUUGCCUAUGCAGUCGGAGAGAUUGAGGUCUGCAGCGUAGAUCCUUCGGGGCUAAAUGCAUUUGUGCUAAGUUAUAGCAUUUUAUAGACAACUUGUUGACUAUGAUUUGUCUUGUAGCUUACUCGCUUAUGUUAUUUUACCUACGCUUAGGAUGUUGACGAGACUGUCGAUCUC
rnacentral:rRNA from 1 species